AGUGAACGCUGGCGGCAGGCCUAACACAUGCAAGUCGAGCGGCAGCGCGGGGGCAACCCUGGCGGCGAGCGGCGGACGGGUGAGGAAUUCGUCGGAAUCUGCCUUUUUGUGGGGGAUAACGUAGGGAAACUUACGCUAAUACCGCAUACGUCCUACGGGAGAAAGUGGGGGACCGCAAGGCCUCACGCAGAAAGAUGAGCCGACGACCGAUUAGCUAGUUGGUGGGGUAAAGGCCCACCAAGGCGACGAUCGGUAGCUGGUCUGAGAGGAUGAUCAGCCACACUGGGACUGAGACACGGCCCAGACUCCUACGGGAGGCAGCAGUGGGGAAUAUUGGACAAUGGGCGCAAGCCUGAUCCAGCCAUGCCGCGUGUGUGAAGAAGGCCUUCGGGUUGUAAAGCACUUUUGUCCGGAAAGAAAUCCCUGGAGCUAAUACCUUCGGGGGAUGACGGUACCAGAAGAAUAAGCACCGGCUAACUUCGUG
rnacentral:rRNA from 1 species